rnacentral:rRNA from 1 species
UACAGAGGUCUCAAGCGUUGUUCGGAUUCAUUGGGCGUAAAGGGCGUGUAGGUGGUUUCGUAAGUCUGGCGUGAAAUUUUUCGGCUUAACCGGGAAAGGUCGUCGGAUACUGCAGAACUAGAGGACGGUAGAGGCGUGUGGAAUUCCGGGUGUAGUGGUGAAAUGCGUAGAGAUCCGGAGGAACACCAGUGGCGAAGGCGACACGCUGGGCCGUACCUGACACUGAUGCGCGACAGCAUGGGGAGCAAACAGG